CACCACUGCACUCUAGCCUGGGCGACAGAGCGAGAAUCUGUCUCAAAAACUAACAAAAAAUGCGACUCUGUUCAUGUGUCCUUUUGCUUAGUAGCCUUUAACAGCUUCUCAUUGCUCUUAGGAUGAAAACCCAGUCCCUAGUAUGACCUUCAAGGCUCCAUGUGGUCUGGCCCCUCUUGACCUCUGUGCCACACUGGCCUUUUAAGCUACAUCUGGUACCUUGGCUGGCAUUAUGGGAAUGAGAUUCUACAACUCUGGAAAAUUCAUGCCUGCAGGUUUAAUUGCAGGUGCCAGUUUGCUGAUGGCCGCCAAAGUUGGAGUUAGUAUGUUCAACAGACCCCAUUAGCAGAAGUCCUGUUCCAGCUUGCACUGAUGAAGAAUUAAAUAUCUGCAUCUUCCACUAUUUUCAAUGUAUUAACAGAAAUAAGUGCAGCAUUUUUGCAUCUGACAUUUUACCUUAAAAAAAAAAGACAUCAAACUUGGCGGAGGGGUGGAAAAUCAGUUGUUACCAUUAUAACCCUACAGAGGUUAUAAUGAGGAUGUAACAUGAGCUUAUUGAGACCCUCAGAGAGAUCGAUUCUUGUACAUUGAUGUUAUCUCUUCUUUCUGUAUCUAUAGGUAUAUCUCAAGGGUAAAAUGUUAGGUGUCAACUUUGAGGGCCCUGAAACCCCAUUCCGUGCUCUGAGGAACAGUGUGAAAAAAUCUCUUAUGAGAUUUAGAAUAUCUGUUCUUUUGCUCAUCUUAGAUUACAGACUGACUUUGAAAUUAUGUUAAGUGAAAUAUCAAUGAAAAUAAAGUUUACUAUAAAUAAUA